rnacentral:lncRNA from 1 species
CCAAUUUGUGCGAGUAAUUGACCUCAUCGUUUCGUCCUUUUGGUGAGUAACGAAUCCGUCUACGUUUCUGGGGUUUUUGUUUGUUUGCAGUGAUGCUUGGGGUGAGAUAUGAUCCUCUCCAUCUCUGGUGAUUACUACUGGUUUCUAUAUAAUCCUUAAACAAGAAUGUUACCCGUGAGAGAAGGUCUUCAGAAACAGGUUAAGAUUCUGAUUGGAUUAGGGUUUGGGGGUUACCGGGGUUUCCACUCUAGAUUCGCUAGCCCUAACGGCUUUCUCGAGCCCGCGAGCUCCGAUUUGCUUCUGAGCAACGAAAGGAGGAACCUUUCUGUCCUCGGCGCUCUCUCUCGAACUUUCUCCGUUCCUUCUGUCUCCGGUCCGGCGUU